GGAAUUUUCCGCAAUGGGCGCAAGCCUGACGGAGCAACGCCGCGUGAGGGAUGAAGGCCUCUGGGCUGUAAACCUCUUUUAUCAAGGAAGAAGAUCUGACGGUACUUGAUGAAUAAGCCACGGCUAAUUCCGUGCCAGCAGCCGCGGUAAUACGGGAGUGGCAAGCGUUAUCCGGAAUUAUUGGGCGUAAAGCGUCCGCAGGCGGUUUUACAAGUCUGUUGUUAAAACGUGGAGCUCAACUCCAUUUCGGCGAUGGAAACUGUAAGACUAGAGUGUGGUAGGGGCAGAGGGAAUUCCCGGUGUAGCGGUGAAAUGCGUAGAUAUCGGGAAGAACACCAGUGGCGAAGGCGCUCUGCUGGGCCAUAACUGACGCUCAUGGACGAAAGCCAGGGGAGCGAAAGGGAUUAGAUACCCCUGUAGUCCUGGCCGUAAACGAUGAACACUAGGUGUCGGGGGAAUCGACCCCCUCGGUGUCGUAGCCAACGCGUUAAGUGUUCCGCCUGGGGAGUACGCACGCAAGUGUGAAACUCAAAUGAAUUGACGG
rnacentral:rRNA from 1 species